rnacentral:rRNA from 1 species
UACGAAGAGGGCUAGCGUUGCUCGGAAUCACUGGGCGUAAAGCGCACGUAGGCGGACUCUUAAGUCGGUGGUGAAAUCCUGGAGCUCAACUCCAGAACUGCCUUCGAUACUGAGAGUCUCGAGUCCGGGAGAGGUGAGUGGAACUGCGAGUGUAGAGGUGAAAUUCGUAGAUAUUCGCAAGAACACCAGUGGCGAAGGCGGCUCACUGGCCCGUAACUGACGCUGAGGCACGAAAGCGUGGGGAGCAAACAGG